rnacentral:lncRNA from 10 species
UAAGGGAGGCCUUCAUUCUGAUGUAACAAAGCCAGCUGUGUCCACAUGAGAACAUUGGCAAGAGUGGGGACAUGGAAGCUGUGUUCAGGCCGGUCCACGCUGGGUGACCCAUGUGACCUGCUGCUUAGCAAUUCCUUGUCACCAUCUUCCCUUCUCAGCCUCUUUUUUCAUGCUAACAGGCAUAAAUGAAAUGAUAAAAGUUUGAGCUCUUCUCGUGGAAUUCUCGUGAUACAGAUAUGUGCUACAUGUUCAUCAUCUCGUUGGUCUUCACCAUGAUAACUGUGGAGUAAGAAUUAUAAGCAGGUCACAGAUUAGGGACUUGAGAUUGACAGUUUGGCUUCCCUGUUCUGGGUGGCAAAGCCUGUGGAGUACUCACCUACCUGCUGCAUGAAGGCAGCAUGGAGGGACUGUGGUGGAUUAUCUGCAAAGAUGGCCAAAAUUCUCUCAUCCCUGCAGGCACAUACAAGGUUGUUGCAUGGCAUAAGUAAAGUGACAGUUAUAGGAUACAUGCAACUUUUCAGUGACAAAGAUCUGUGCAGCAUCGACAGUACUGCCUAAUGAGGUUUCACCAUAAUGAAGUAUCACAACCAGUUUACAGACCAGAAAACUGAGACACAGGAAGGGGUGGUGACUUGAGCAAGGUGCAUCAGCUGGUAAGUGCAGAGCU